AUUAUAGUCUGUGGUCAUAGAUAACCUUUGGCGAAGCAAUAUAUCGAAGUUGGGAGGUGUGUGACCGUAAUAUUUGUUUUAUUUUAUUCCUGUUUAUCAAAGUUUGUAUGAUGUGAAACCGUUCACUAUGUUGCGAAGAAUUGGUAUGAAUUUGCGUAAGAAGCCUUUUGCAGAAAUUACAGUUCAAUGCAGGUGUGCAACACUUCAAGGAAAUGCCGAAGCAAAGCACAGAAGAAGUCUGUUGUUCACCAAAGAAAAGGAACGACAACAGAAAAAUAUAGGAAGGAUAGAAAAAAUUGAAGUACAGUAUGUGGGGACUCCUGAAGAUGUAACGUUAAUGAUGAACAAGGGCAUCUCUACCCCAUUUAAUUGUGCCCAACACAUGUCUGAGAUGCUUAUGCAGCGUUCAGCAUUGGCCCUGAUAGAUGACACAACGCUGUGGGAUAUGAAUCGUCCAUUGGAGGCUGAUUGCCAGCUCCGACUCUUACAUUUCAGAGAUUCUGAUCCAUACCACGUGAACAAAGCUUUCUGGAGAUCUUGUUCUAUGCUUCUAGGAGCUUUAGCUGAAAAUGUCUUCAGAGAAAAUAUUCAUGUUGAUCUACAUAGUUUUCCAUCACCAACUGUGAAGACUGGCAGUUUUGUAUAUGAUGUGAACAUAGGCCUAGAUAAUUGGCAGCCUGUGCAGGAUGAGCUCCGCAUAAUGUCUGCUCAGAUGGUGAAUUUGUGCCAGAAGAAUCUCAAAUUUGAGAGACUUGAAGUAAAUAUAGACUUGGCUCUAGAGAUGUUUAAAGACAACAAAUACAAGACAGAACAAAUUCCACAUAUUGCGUCACAAAUAUCAGAUAGAAAAACGGUAGUUUUAUAUCGUGUAGGAGACCAUGUAGAUUUGAGCAGAGGCCCCAUGGUGGCGGACACCAGUUUUGUGGGGAAAUGCACUGUAACAGCGGUUCAUAAAAUUGAGACUAAUCAAGGAAUACUUUAUCGAUUCCAAGGUGUAGCACUGCCCAAAGGCUUUUUGCUGAAUCAUUUUGCAUAUGGAAUUCUUGAGGACAGAGCAAGAAAGUUGAAUCCUGGUCGACUUCCCGGUGCACCUUCUAACAUAUCUGACAUGUUCCAGCCAACCUCAGAAGCUAUGUCUUUGUAGAUAUGAAGCACGGUUAUCAACCACAGAACUUACAUGCAAAUGAGAAACUCUCUUGAAAGUGCCACAGCAUGGAGGAACGGAGGGAAAUGAAGUUUGUAGAUGGUUGGAAAGAAAAAGUCUUAUUACUGAACUGAAUAAUAAUAAAUAUGUAAAUACAAUUUUUGGCAUGUUAUUUAAUUGAAUAUGCCUACUCAUUAUCUUGACAGGAAACCAAAAUCUUCCCAGUCUGCAAAAGAAGAAAAGUUUAAUAGUCUGCUGUCAGAUACAAAGAGAAGGGAAAUAAUUACAGGAAAUGUGUUAAUUUAAGAAGAUCAAGACUCCUGUUCCAAGCCUACAAAGGUUCAGUUUCACUCACUGUUGCUGAUGUGGUAAGUCCAUAAUCCUUCCACAGUACACUGUUAAAUUCCCACUUCUGGGUGAGAUCUUUGUAUAUGUAGCCAAGUACUUUGUUGUGACAUGGUAGUGUUAUUUGUUGAUCUUCUGUUGCUGAGAUUGUUGGAGUUUGAGGUUUCACAGCCAAAGAUAUAACAUUGAUGAUAACACGGGACCCAGGUUCUUGGAACAGCAUACAUGUGUAUACACCAGAGUCACGUGGAUCUGUGUUGUUUAUUACUGAAAUAAUGUAAUUGAGUACUGUGUUGGAUAAAGAAAUAAUGAGUUGCCUUUAAGAUUGUAAGUAAUUCUUCCAAGUAGUGUUAGCUGAGAAGUACAAACAGAAUGUACUAAAUAAAUUCAGUUUCUGGAAA